rnacentral:rRNA from 1 species
UACAGAGGCCACGAGCGUUAGGCGGAAUCACUGGGCUUAAAGCGUGUGUAGGUGGAUCGGUAAGUACCUUGUGAAAUCCCACGACUCAAUCGUGGAACUGCUUGGUAUACUGCCAGUCUUGAGGUACUCAGGGGCGAGCGGAACAAAUGGUGGAGCGGUGAAAUGCGUAGAUAUCAUUUGGAACGCCAAUGGUGAAGACAGCUCGCUGGGGGUAUUCUGACACUGAGACACGAAAGCCAGGGGAGCAAACGGG